GCGUAAGGGCUCGCAGGCGGUUUCUUAAGUCUGAUGUGAAAGCCCCCGGCUCAACCGGGGAGGGUCAUUGGAAACUGGGGAACUUGAGUGCAGAAGAGGAGAGUGGAAUUCCACGUGUAGCGGUGAAAUGCGUAGAGAUGUGGAGGAACACCAGUGGCGAAGGCGACUCUCUGGUCUGUAACUGACGCUGAGGAGCGAAAGCGUGGGGAGCGAACAGGAUUAGAUACCCUGGUAGUCCACGCCGUAAACGAUGAGUGCUAGGUGUUAGGGUCCUUCCGCCCCUUAUGGCUGCACUUAAGCCAUUAGGUAACCGGCUGGGAAAUUCCGGCCGCAGGAUUGAACUUCAAUGAAUUUGCCGGGGGCCCC
rnacentral:rRNA from 2 species